rnacentral:tRNA from 16 species
GCCUCUGUAGCUCAGUCGGUAGAGCAGAGGACUGAAAAUCCUCGUGUCGUUGGUUCGAUUCCGACCGGAGGCACCA